AUCUUACUACAAACCACUCUUCUUCCAUUAAAAUUAGAGACCACUUUGGUCAGACAGCCUUUCACACUAGUUACCAAAGAAAAUUGAAGGAAGCUCCCGUUAAAGAACAAUUAGUGGUAUAAAGGAGGUGCAAAGGUGAAACUGAGUGACUGGUGAGUAAAGAGAAGAUAAGUCCUCCCAACUACAAUUCUAAAAGAAGAUUUUGCUUACAGCAAAUAUCCAUAGUGCAAUCUUGGACUUCUGUGUGUGUCAUUUGAUCCAACAGGAAAUAAUGAAACAAUGGGAUAAAGGAGAAAACAGUAGACAUUUAAGAGGCAUGGUUCUUCCAGAAGGCAGAUAUAUAAGCAGUGGAACAGAGUAAUUCUUUAUGUCUUUAAAAGCUUGGCUAAGAAAAACCAAAAAGCUUCACAGAUGCUUGACUGUGCCUCUGCUAAACCACAAGAAGUUGCCAGUAGAAAGUAUAUGCCUGAGAAAAAAACAUUUAAAGCUUUAUGGAAGCUAGAGCCAAGAGUGACGUUAUCUGGUGGCAUCCGGCAGCAAGGCCAUAACCCAACAGCCCAGGAGGGAAGUGUGUCAAGGCCUCUAUUGACCAGCAAAAUCCUGCUGCAUCAGCUAAACAGCACCUGCUCCUUGUUCAGAUGUUCCCCUUCCAGAUGUCCUGUUUUCACCUAAGAGAUCAGUGUGUUCCAGGAGAGCUGACUACUACCUUUUCAUUGUAUUAAAACCUGACAGCAUCCUGGGAAUAAACCAUUUCAAAGCCUAAUGAAAACAAGCUUAUGCUUCCUUCCUAGCCACUGAUACACUCUGAUGUGAAUGCGGACAAUCACGGAACAUGUGCUAAGCAUUACAAUAGCAUUGUAUAAAACUGCACAUUGUACAUUGUAUAAAAUAUAAAAAACAUUUCAUCAUUUUGAAACUCUGCAAAUUGCUUCCAUUUCCUGGGCUAUUUCAGCUUCUGUCAGGACAGAUCGACACCAUUGUCCCAUCCACCCAUGAUCACUGACAUAUCUUAUUCCUUAUUCCAACUGCUCAGCAAAGCCUCAUGAAGGGCAUAUAACCCAAUAUAUUGAACUGACUUCCAAAAGUUUAGGAGAAAGAUCAAAAGGA